UUGAAAUACCACCCUUUAAUGUUUGAUGUUCUAACGUGGACCCGUUACCCGGGUUGCGGACAGUGUCUGGUGGGUAGUUUGACUGGGGCGGUCUCCUCCUAAAGAGUAACGGAGGAGCACGAAGGUUGGCUAAUCCUGGUCGGACAUCAGGAGGUUAGUGCAAUGGCAUAAGCCAGCUUGACUGCGAGCGUGACGGCGCGAGCAGGUGCGAAAGCAGGUCAUAGUGAUCCGGUGGUUCUGAAUGGAAGGGCCAUCGCUCAACGGAUAAAAGGUACUCCGGGGAUAACAGGCUGAUACCGCCCAAGAGUUCAUAUCGACGGCGGUGUUUGGCACCUCGAUGUCGGCUCAUCACAUCCUGGGGCUGAAGUAGGUCCCAAGGGUAUGGCUGUUCGCCAUUUAAAGUGGUACGCGAGCUGGGUUUAGAACGUCGUGAGACAGUUCGGUCCCUAUCUGCCGUGGGCGCUGGAGAACUGAGGGGGGCUGCUCCUAGUACGAGAGGACCGGAGUGGACGCAUCACUGGUGUUCGGGUUGUCAUGCCAAUGGCACUGCCCGGUAGCUAAAUGCGGAAGAGAUAAGUGCUGAAAGCAUCUAAGCACGAAACUUGCCCCGAGAUGAGUUCUCCCUGAGACUUAGAGUCUCCUGAAGGAACGUUGAAGACGACGACGUUGAUAGGCCGGGUGUGUAAGCGCAGCGAUGCGUUGAGCUAACCGGUACUAAUGAACCGUGAGGCUUAACCUUACA
rnacentral:rRNA from 1 species